CUCGCCAGGGGACAACGAGCUUAAGCUUAGAACCCAAAGGACUUGGCGGUGCUUUAGACCCCCCUAGAGGAGCCUGUUCUAGAACCGAUACUCCCCGUUAAACCUCACCCUCCCUUGUUCGUCCCGCCUAUAUACCGCCGUCGUCAGCUUACCCUGUGAGGGAUCAACAGUAAGCAAAAUUGGUAAAGCCCAAAACGUCAGGCCGAGGUGUAGCGCACGAGAGGGGAAGAAAUGGGCUACAUUUGCUGAGCCAGCAAAUCACGGAUGAUGGACUGAAACUACAUCUAAAGGAGGAUUUAGUAGUAAGAGAAGAAUAGAGUGCUUCCCUGAAAACGGCCCUGAAGCGCGCACACACCGCCCGUCACCCUCCCCAACAAAACUCCAAACAUAAAUAAUAUGUUAGUACAACAAAGAGGAGGCAAGUCGUAACAUGGUAAGUGUACCGGAAGGUGCACUUGGAUCAACC
rnacentral:rRNA from 1 species